CCGAUGUAGCUCAGUCCGGUUAGAGCGAGGGAUUCAUAAACCCUAGGUCGGAGGUUCGAGUCCUCCCAUCGGC
rnacentral:tRNA from 1 species